rnacentral:rRNA from 1 species
CCUACGGGAGGCAGCAGUGGGGAAUAUUGCACAAUGGGCGGAAGCCUGAUGCAGCGACGCCGCGUGAGGGAUGACGGCCUUCGGGUUGUAAACCUCUUUCAGUAGGGAAGAAGCGUAAGUGACGGUACCUGCAGAAGAAGCGCCGGCUAACUACGUGCCAGCAGCCGCGGUAAUACGUAGGGCGCAAGCGUUAUCCGGAAUUAUUGGGCGUAAAGAGCUCGUAGGCGGUUUGUCGCGUCUGCCGUGAAAGUCCGGGGCUCAACUCCGGAUCUGCGGUGGGUACGGGCAGACUAGAGUGAUGUAGGGGAGACUGGAAUUCCUGGUGUAGCGGUGAAAUGCGCAGAUAUCAGGAGGAACACCGAUGGCGAAGGCAGGUCUCUGGGCAUUAACUGACGCUGAGGAGCGAAAGCAUGGGGAGCGAACAGGAUUAGAUACCCUGGUAGUCCAUGCCGUAAACGUUGGGCACUAGGUGUGGGGGACAUUCCACGUUUUCCGCGCCGUAGCUAACGCAUUAAGUGCCCCGCCUGGGGNGACGCCGCGAGACGAACACAAGAAGUAGACGCGUGAGACGUGCCGACGACGACGACGAGGGAGGAGG